rnacentral:lncRNA from 1 species
CGCCAUCUGUUUCUUCCCCAAUGGAGAGGCCAUCUGCACGGGCUCGGAUGACGCUUCCUGCCGCUUGUUUGACCUGCGGGCAGACCAGGAGCUGAUCUGCUUCUCCCACGAGAGCAUCAUCUGCGGCAUCACGUCCGUGGCCUUCUCCCUCAGUGGCCGCCUGCUAUUUGCUGGCUACGACGACUUCAACUGCAAUGUCUGGGACUCCAUGAAGUCUGAGCGUGUGGGGCAUCCUCUCUGGCCACGAUAACAGGGUCAGCUGCCUGGGAGUCACAGCUGAUGGGAUGGCUGUGGCCACAGGUUCCUGGGACAGCUUCCUCAAAAUCUGGAACUGAGGAGGCUGGAGAAAGGGAAGUGGAAGGCAGUGAAGACACUCAGCAGCCCCCUGCCCGACCCCAUCUCAUUCAGGUGUUCUCUUCUAUAUUCCGGGUGCCAUUCCCACUAAGCUUUCUCCUUUGAGGGCAGUGGGGAGCAUGGGACUGUGCCUUUGGGAGGCAGCAUCAGGGACACAGGGGCAAAGAACUACCCCAUCUCCUCCCAUGGCCUUCCCUCCCCACAGUCCUCACAGCCUCUCCCUUAAUGAGCAAGGACAACCUGCCCCUCCCCAGCCCUUUGCAGGCCCAGCAGACUUGAGUCUGAGGCCCCAGGCCCUAGGAUUCCUCCCCUAGAGCCACUACAGGCCUGGGUGGUAUAGGGCGUUUGGCCCUGUGACUAUGGCUCUGGCACCACUAGGGUCCUGGCCCUCUUCUUAUUCAUGCUUUCUCCUUUUUCUACCUUUUUUUCUCUCCUAAGACACCUGCAAUAAAGUGUAGCACCCUGG